rnacentral:lncRNA from 1 species
CAAGGCUCCAUAUGGGUUCUACCACUCUCUGGGGUUUCUACUUUCUGGGGGUACAGAAAAUAGAAACAUGACUCAGAGUUCCUGCCUCAUGGAGUCUGGGAGCUUUCCUCCUCAUUGGAUCUGGGAGCUUCCAGGAACACAUCAAGGAAGAAGGAGAGCUCACUACUAUACAACACAGGUGUCAUGUCUCAACACCCACCCAGCUUACCUGCAGAUCCCAGAAGAGUCAAGAGGUUCCGAGGGCACCCUUAAUGAGACAAGGCAUCUGAUGACACCCUUCCAUUACACCAGGCACCAGUACAGAAAGCAAGCUGUUCUGCGGCACCAGAACAUAUGAAAAGGAAGCGCAGUUUUCCACACACAGUCGCUUCCCGUCUCAGACCCCAUGACUGCAGAGUUUCAGAAAGUAAACACUGUAGAUCCAAGCAGAGUGCCAGAUGGUGGGCUGAAGUAGAACCAGCUCACAGAGACUGGAACACACAGGGCUGGGAGCUCCU